UAUUUAUUUGAUUAGUUAUUUAUUACUUAGAUUAAACCUACAUAUUAUUGUUAUUUAUCACUUAGAUUAAACCCACAAGCUCAUAGGAUUCUGAGCUGGAAGGACCUCAAGCCCUUCAUUUUACAGAUGAAGAAACUGAUGCCCAAAGAAGCUGAGGCUUGCCCAGGAUAACCCCAGAACUCUACAAACGAUGGGGGAUUGAAAUCUAAACCUCCAGCUUUACAUGUAGCAGCCCUCAUUGCUUUGUGCCACAGAGACCCUGGAAUGGGUUCCCAGGAGAAAUUGUUGGGUCACUAGAAGAAAGACAGUCCAGGAGGCCAACUCCAGAGAGCAUCUGGGGACAGAGAGGCUUCCAAGGUGGCAAGGGCAGAUCAGUGACAAGGCUAUAAUUUGUUCUGAAAGACAGGUUUCUGAGAUGAGCAGGUGAAGUGGUCAACUCCCACAUCUGCUUUCCACUCAAUUCGGUGGCAUCAGAUGAAUCUCUCCUGAGCACUCAGCCCUGUGCUAGCUGGAUCAGUGAAAGUUGCAAAAGAAGUGUCUGGCAUUUCCCCUGUUGUCGUGGAGCCCAUCCUUUGUUAGCAGAGUCCUAGAAAUAAGACAUCUGACCAUGAAAUAAAUAAUGACAUUAAUCCA
rnacentral:lncRNA from 1 species